UGGGGAAUAUUGGACAAUGGGGGCAACCCUGAUCCAGCCAUGCCGCGUGAGUGAUGAAGGCCUUCGGGUUGUAAAGCUCUUUUGGCGGGGACGAUGAUGACGGUACCCGCAGAAUAAGCCCCGGCUAACUUCGUGCCAGCAGCCGCGGUAAGACGAAGGGGGCUAGCGUUGUUCGGAAUUACUGGGCGUAAAGCGAGUGUAGGCGGUUGCCGUAGUCAGGUGUGAAAGCCUUGAGCUCAACUCAAGAAAUGCACUUGAUACUGGGUGACUAGAGGACCGGAGAGGAUAGUGGAAUUCCCAGUGUAGUGGUGAAAUACGUAGAGAUUGGGAAGAACACCAGUGGCGAAGGCGGCUAUCUGGACGGUUACUGACGCUAAGACUCGAAAGCGUGGGGAGCAAAACGGGAUUAGAUACCCUGGUAGUCCACGCCGUAAACGAUGGGUGCUAGACGUUGGCGAGCUUGCUCGUCAGUGUCGCAGCUAACGCGUUAAGCACCCCGCCUGGGGAGUACGGCCGC
rnacentral:rRNA from 1 species